GCACACACUGGAAAACCAGCACCUGGACUUCAUGCAGGAGAGAUGACCUCAGUGAUAAUUCAUCAGCAGCUGUGAAGAGAUGUAUUUGAAUAUCUUCUGGUUCCACUUUUCUUAACCUGGAAGCUGAGGAUGGCUGAUUCCUGACAAGGACACACACCUCAGCGCUUAUCAUGGGUGUUACAUCCUCUGUGCCGCAAUUCCAGAGAAAACGAGAGAGCAACGACCACUCAUUAAGACCAGCCAGAAAUCUGUCCCUUUCUGGCAGCUGUGGAAACUUCCAAUAAGAAAGUUUGCAUUCUUAGAACAAUGCUGGGUCAUGUGUGAUGUGUCAUUAUAUGAGGAUAUUACAUUUUGACUUGAUUCUGCUCAAUUAAGUGUUUUGUUCGUUGAUCCAAUAUGGCAGCUUUUUAUUGUGCUCCAAGUUAAAACUCAUUGUCCUCAUGAGCACAGCAUCUAACAACUCUCCUUAAAAAAGUCGAUUGACUUUAACUGGACACAAUGGUUUCCAGUGGGAGAUACAUUCAUCACUCAUCCGUGACACUGGAGAAGUCACCUGAGUGAGUGAUAAAACAAUUUUCCAUGGAAAAUCCAGAAGAACUAAACUUUGUUGUUGUUUCUUUGGGCUCAAUUUCAGCUCUAGCAGCAUCUCUCAGAAGAAAACAGUUUUGCAAAUAAUCAGAUAAAAAGAUUGUUGAACUAGGUGGUAUUCUCUGGAGUUUAAGACCAACACUGAACUCAAACAGUGAAUUGACAUUAGACUGGAAUUCAUAAGAUGAAUAGAAAUACUGCUGAAGCUGAA